rnacentral:rRNA from 1 species
GAUGAACGCUGGCGGCGUGCCUAAUACAUGCAAGUCGAGCGAACGGACGAGAAGCUUGCUUCUCUGAUGUUAGCGGCGGACGGGUGAGUAACACGUGGAUAACCUACCUAUAAGACUGGGAUAACUUCGGGAAACCGGAGCUAAUACCGGAUAAUAUUUCGAACCGCAUGGUUCAAAAGUGAAAGACGGUCUUGCUGUCACUUAUAGAUGGAUCCGCGCUGCAUUAGCUAGUUGGUAAGGUAACGGCUUACCAAGGCAACGAUGCAUAGCCGACCUGAGAGGGUGAUCGGCCACACUGGAACUGAGACACGGUCCAGACUCCUACGGGAGGCAGCAGUAGGGAAUCUUCCGCAAUGGGCGAAAGCCUGACGGAGCAACGCCGCGUGAGUGAUGAAGGUCUUCGGAUCGUAAAACUCUGUUAUUAGGGAAGAACAUAUGUGUAAGUAACUGUGCACAUCUUGACGGUACCUAAUCAGAAAGCCACGGCUAACUACGUGCCAGCAGCCGCGGUAAUACGUAGGUGGCAAGCGUUAUCCGGAAUUAUUGGGCGUAAAGCGCGCGUAGGCGGUUUUUUAAGUCUGAUGUGAAAGCCCACGGCUCAACCGUGGAGGGUCAUUGGAAACUGGAAAACUUGAGUGCAGAAGAGGAAAGUGGAAUUCCAUGUGUAGCGGUGAAAUGCGCAGAGAUAUGGAGGAACACCAGUGGCGAAGGCGACUUUCUGGUCUGUAACUGACGCUGAUGUGCGAAAGCGUGGGGAUCAAACAGGAUUAGAUACCCUGGUAGUCCACGCCGUAAACGAUGAGUGCUAAGUGUUAGGGGGUUUCCGCCCCUUAGUGCUGCAGCUAACGCAUUAAGCACUCCGCCUGGGGAGUACGACCGCAAGGUUGAAACUCAAAGGAAUUGGCGGGGACCCGCACAAGCGGUGGAGCAUGUGGUUUAAUUCGAAGCAACGCGAAGAACCUUACCAAAUCUUGACAUCCUUUGACAACUCUAGAGAUAGAGCCUUCCCCUUCGGGGGACAAAGUGACAGGUGGUGCAUGGUUGUCGUCAGCUCGUGUCGUGAGAUGUUGGGUUAAGUCCCGCAACGAGCGCAACCCUUAAGCUUAGUUGCCAUCAUUAAGUUGGGCACUCUAAGUUGACUGCCGGUGACAAACCGGAGGAAGGUGGGGAUGACGUCAAAUCAUCAUGCCCCUUAUGAUUUGGGCUACACACGUGCUACAAUGGACAAUACAAAGGGCAGCGAAACCGCGAGGUCAAGCAAAUCCCAUAAAGUUGUUCUCAGUUCGGAUUGUAGUCUGCAACUCGACUACAUGAAGCUGGAAUCGCUAGUAAUCGUAGAUCAGCAUGCUACGGUGAAUACGUUCCCGGGUCU